rnacentral:rRNA from 1 species
ACCUACGGGGCGCAGCAGUAGGGAAUCUUCCACAAUGGACGAAAGUCUGAUGGAGCAACGCCGCGUGAGUGAAGAAGGGUUUCGGCUCGUAAAGCUCUGUUGGUAGUGAAGAAAGAUAGAGGUAGUAACUGGCCUUUAUUUGACGGUAAUUACUUAGAAAGUCACGGCUAACUACGUGCCAGCAGCCACGGUAAUACGUAGGUGGCAAGCGUUGUCCGGAAUUACUGGGUGUAAAGGGAGCGCAGGCGGGAAGGCAAGUCAGCUGUUGAACCUACGGG